AUUGAACGCUGGCGGCAGGCUUAACACAUGCAAGUCGAGCGGAGCGAGGGUGCUUGCACCUUAGCUUAGCGGCGGACGGGUGAGUAAUGCUUAGGAAUCUGCCUAUUAGUGGGGGACAACAUUCCGAAAGGAAUGCUAAUACCGCAUACGUCCUACGGGGGAAAGCAGGGGAUCUUCGGACCUUGCGCUAAUAGAUGAGCCUAAGUCGGAUUAGCUAGUUGGUGGGGUAAAGGCCUACCAAGGCGACGAUCUGUAGCGGGUCUGAGAGGAUGAUCCGCCACACUGGGACUGGGACACGGCCCAGACUCCUACGGGAGGCAGCAGUGGGGAAUAUUGGACAAUGGGCGGAAGCCUGAUCCAGCCACGCCGCGUGUGUGAAGAAGGCCUUUUGGUUGUAAAGCACUUUAAGCGAGGAGGAGGCUACUAGUAUUAAUACUACUGGAUAGUGGACGUUACUCGCAGAAUAAGCACCGGCUAACUCUGUGCCAGCAGCCGCGGUAAGAC
rnacentral:rRNA from 1 species